CCUCCAAACGUCACAAUUCAAAAUCGUUUCCGAUCUGUUCCGUUGUGUCACACCACCACAGUUACUCGCCAUCGUGGAACUACCUAGACCGCACUUCGACGUCUUCAGCCGUCCCACACACACCAACGCCACCGCUUUGAACCGUCGUACGGUCCGUUGUAACUACAUAUGCCUUCCAGCACCAUGGCGCCCGUUGCUUCGAUCUAAGAGGUUUGCAUACUUUUUGUGGAUGACUUGAAUUGUGGAUUGUUGCUUUACUUGCUAAACUAAGGUAAUCUGGGAUAAUAUGGGAUUUCAGUGAGGAGCGUUAGGAAGUUGCUGACCAAGAUUCUUUAUUUCAGUAACGUAAUAAAAUGUAAUUAAGAUCUUUUAUUUAAUGUUAUGGAUUGGUUUUAGUUUUGAUAUCUGUAAGAGUGACACGUCAGCCCUAUUCGGGUCGGGGUGUUACAAUUAUGGUAUCAGAGCAAAGGCUCUUUCCUGUAGAAAAUUUAAACCUUAAAAAGUAAACCUGUGAGUUAAUGGGUAGACGUUGGGUUAGGAUUUUACCUUUUGAUUAGUCUUGCUACUCUUCAUUUUGUCAUCUUGGGUCUAUCUGCUAGAGGGGUUUCCUUUCUCUAUCGCUACCAAACUUGUCUACGAUCAUGUUGAGUAUCUGAUUCUAUUUCUGUAUUUGUUGUAUCUAUCAUAUGCAAUAUUCACAUCGGUUUUGUGUCGUCAUUAGUCUCGAUGUCAAUUUUAGUUUUCAAUUUCGAUUCAAAGUUAGUGGUUAGGUAUAUUCAGCAAAUGUUUUAAGU